GUUGUGAAAAAGCCGGCUUUUAAUGAGUUGAUGUGAAAAGCUGCACGCACAUUAGACUUUUUUUUCCUGGUGUCCCAGAGGGAGAAGGCAGCCUGGCAGGUCUGCAUCCUUUGAGUACCACCUCUGCUGCUACUUACAGGUUAUAUGAAGCUUUCCUGUUUCCAGGGACACAUGUUUUUGUUUGGCUCCAUAGUGAAGCACCCUGACUUCUCCAGGACAGCCACAUCACAAAGGAUGGAGGCCAAUAAGAGCUGACACAAGGCUCAUCCCAGCCUUUGAGACAUGCUGUACUCUUGGAACUUUCUCGACAAAAGAAAACAUGCAUAAGACUCCUCACCUCUCUGCUUCUGCCCAUAAAACUUUCCUCUGAUUCAAAGGAAUCCAGCCAUCUCUCGUUAACUCACUCAGCCUUGAUUCAUUUAAUCACUCUAAAGCUCUGCUAAGUACUUGUUAUGUGCUGUGAAUGAAACUGUUGCUAAGUACAAGCAAAUAAACAUUGCCACUUUCCUAAUGUGGUAUCUAACAGGCACAGGGUAGUGAAAUGAGCCCUAUGGAAGAGCUGUGGGCAGGGCAACCUAAAGGAGGUUGACAACUUAAUGGCAAGUAGGAGAGCAUUUUUGAGAGAGAGUGUACUUAAAUUACCAUUCAAAUGUAAGAAAACUUAGACUGCAAAAGUGGGAAGGAAGGUCUUUGGGAGAGAAGAGUAAGAUUCUGAAGAUCUUGAGAUACAAAGAAAAAAAAUGAAACAUUUAGGAUAAUGGCUAGCAGAAAAUUUGAAAGUCAGGAGAGUGAAAGCUUCAGUUUUGCAGUCAAUCUUAAAUAUGAAUCUGAAUGUAUAUUUCCCUUCCUGGAAACUUUUCACUAGCUUCCAAACACUUAUGGAAUAAAGAAUGUAUGUCAGUGUU
rnacentral:lncRNA from 1 species